CACAGGCUGCGGUGUAUCCACUGUCAUAGCUUCCUCAGCUCCACUCUCUCCAACUAUUUUCUGCACAUCCACGUAGAAGACCUACUGGACAGCCUGGACAGUGUCGACCUGAGCCCUGGGGACCAUGCCUCAGGACUACCUGCCCUGAUGACUCCUUGCUGUCGCCAGUCCACCUGCUGUCCCCAGUCCACCCCAGUCUACCUGCUGCUGCUCCAGUUUCAACUGUUCGACUGUUCGACUCUUUCUCUCUCUACCGCACCUCCUGUGUCUAACUCUGAAUAGUCAGCUAUGAAAAGCCAACUGAUAUUUACUCCCGAGGUGAUGCACCCUCUACAACCACUGUGAUUAUUAUUAUUUGACCCUGCUGGUCGUCUAUGAAUGUUUGAACAUCUUGGCCAUGUACUGUUAUAAUCUCCAC
ensembl:lncRNA